AGCGAACGCUAGCGGGUGGCUUAACACAUGCAAGUCGAGCGCUUCCUUCGGGAAGAGCGGCGAACGGGUGAGUAACACGUAGGAUACCUACCUCAUGGUGGGGGAUAACUGGGGGAAACCCCAGCUAAUACCGCAUAUGGCCCACGGGUCAAAGACUUCGGUCGCCAAGAGAUGGUCCUGCGGCCCAUUAUUUAAUCCUAGUUGGUGAGGUAACGGCUCACCAAGGGUACGAUGGGUAGCUGGUCUGAGAGGACGAUCAGCCACACUGGGACUGAGACACGGCCCAGACUCCUACGGGAGGCAGCAGUGGGGAAUAUUGCGCAAUGGGCGAAAGCCUGACGCAGCCAACCCGCGUGAGUGAUGAAGGCCCUAGGGUUGUAAAGCUCUGUCGUGAGGGAAGAAGAUCUGACGGUACCUCACAAGAAAGCACCGGCUAACUCCG
rnacentral:rRNA from 1 species